rnacentral:rRNA from 1 species
UACAGAGGGUGCAAGCGUUGUUCGGAAUUAUUGGGCGUAAAGCGCGUGUAGGCGGCUAUGCAAGUCGGGUGUGAAAGCCCUCAGCUUAACUGAGGAAGUGCGCCCGAAACUGCAUGGCUUGAGUACCGGAGAGGAUGGCGGAAUUCCCCAAGUAGAGGUGAAAUUCGUAGAUAUGGGGAGGAACACCGGCGGCGAAGGCGGCCAUCUGGACGGAUACGUGACGCUGAGACGCGAAAGCGUGGGUAGCAAACAGG